rnacentral:rRNA from 1 species
UACAGAGGGUGCGAGCGUUGUCCGGAAUCACUGGGCGUAAAGGGCUCGUAGGCGGUUUGUCGCGUCGGGGAGUGAAAACACACAGCUUAACUGUGUGCUUGCUUCCGAUACGGGCAGACUAGAGGUAUGCAGGGGAGAACGGAAUUCCUGGUGUAGCGGUGAAAUGCGCAGAUAUCAGGAGGAACACCGGUGGCGAAGGCGGUUCUCUGGGCAUUACCUGACGCUGAGGAGCGAAAGUGUGGGGAGCGAACAGG